rnacentral:rRNA from 1 species
CCUACGGGAGGCAGCAGUAGGGAAUAUUGCUCAAUGGGGGAAACCCUGAAGCAGCAACGCCGCGUGGAGGAUGAAUGUUUUCGGAUUGUAAACUCCUUUUGUUAGAGAAGAUAAUGACGGUAUCUAACGAAUAAGCACCGGCUAACUCCGUUCCAGCAGCCGCGGUAAUACGGAGGCUGCAAGCUUUACUCGGAAUCACUGGGCGUAAAGCGCGCGUAGGCGGGAUAGCAAGUCAGAUGUGAAAUCCUAUGGCUUAACCAUAGAACUGCAUUUGAAACUGUUAUUCUAGAGUAUGGGAGAGGUAGGUGGAAUUCUUGGGGUAGGGGUAAAAUCCGUAGAGAUCAAGAGGAAUACUGAUUGCGAAGGCGACCUGCUAGAACAUAACUGACGCUGAUGCGCGAAAGCGUGGGGAGCAAACAGGAUUAGAUACCCUAGUAGUC